rnacentral:rRNA from 1 species
CCAGACUCCUACGGGAGGCAGCAGUGGGGAAUUUUGCGCAAUGGGGGAAACCCUGACGCAGCAACGCCGCGUGCGGGACGAAGGCCCUCGGGUCGUAAACCGCUUUCAGCAGGGAAGACCACGACGGUACCUGCAGAAGAAGCUCCGGCUAACUACGUGCCAGCAGCCGCGGUAAUACGUAGGUGGCAAGCGUUGUCCGGAUUUACUGGGUGUAAAGGGCGUGUAGCCGGGAAGGCAAGUCAGAUGUGAAAUCUGGAGGCUCAACCUCCAAAUUGCAUUUGAAACUGUUUUUCUUGAGUACUGGAGAGGCAGACGGAAUUCCUUGUGUAGCGGUGAAAUGCGUAGAUAUAAGGAGGAACACCAGUGGCGAAGGCGGUCUGCUGGACAGCAACUGACGGUGAGGCGCGAAAGCGUGGGGAGCAAACAGGAUUAGAUACCCUUGUAC